rnacentral:rRNA from 1 species
UACGUAGGGACCAAGCGUUGUUCGGAUUUACUGGGCGUAAAGGGCGCGUAGGCGGCCUGCUAAGUCGAACGUGAAGUCCCUGGGCUCAACCCAGGAACUGCGUCCGAUACUGGUUGGCUUGAAUCCGGGAGAGGGAUGUGGAAUUCCAGGUGUAGCGGUGAAAUGCGUAGAUAUCUGGAGGAACACCGGUGGCGAAGGCGACAUCCUGGACCGGUAUUGACGCUGAGGCGCGAAAGCCAGGGGAGCAAACGGG